AGUGAACGCUGGCGGUAGGCCUAACACAUGCAAGUCGAACGGCAGCACAGUAAGAGCUUGCUCUUACGGGUGGCGAGUGGCGGACGGGUGAGGAAUACAUCGGAAUCUACUUUUUCGUGGGGGAUAACGUAGGGAAACUUACGCUAAUACCGCAUACGACCUACGGGUGAAAGCAGGGGAUCUUCGGACCUUGCGCGAUUGAAUGAGCCGAUGUCGGAUUAGCUAGUUGGCGGGGUAAAGGCCCACCAAGGCGACGAUCCGUAGCUGGUCUGAGAGGAUGAUCAGCCACACUGGAACUGAGACACGGUCCAGACUCCUACGGGAGGCAGCAGUGGGGAAUAUUGGACAAUGGGCGCAAGCCUGAUCCAGCCAUACCGCGUGGGUGAAGAAGGCCUUCGGGUUUUAAAGCCCUUUUGUUGGGAAAGAAAAGCAGCAGGUUAAUACCCCGCUGUUCCGACGGUACCCAAAGAAUAAGCACCGGCUAACUUCGUG
rnacentral:rRNA from 1 species